AUGAACCCUGGGCUGUCAGAGUUGGAGAAGUGUGGUUUUUAUUCCAAAUAUUAUUCCAGGUAUAGCCAGAAAAAGGGCAAUUUCACUCUCUUUCUUGUGGUUGCAGAGCUCCAGAAGCAAAACCGGCCCCGGCCACGGCGAAGAGGUCGAUCCUGUUCAUCUCUCGCCCCGCAAGACCCCAUCUUCUCCUUCACCUGCACCAAAGAAAACGUUGGGGCUGCGAGACUCCGGCGGCAGCUACUUUGCCAGCAGCACCAAGGAAACACGCAAACGAACCACAAAGCACACGGCAGGCAGCAGCAAGAGCCAGGCUGGAAGCUCCGUACACGCAGAGACGAGAUUUGCCGCUUCCCUCCCGUCGUCAUCGUCGUUUUUGUUUUCUUGAUUUGUUUUGUUUUGUUUUCUUCCCAGGGAUUGUAUUUUGUUUUGUCUCUGCCGGCUGGCGAACGAGGAUGCGGUGGCACGAGCCUCUCUCGCCGUGCGACGCUGCGGAGCGCCCCCCCCUUCCCAUCCCGUGUCAUACGAGAAGCCGCAUAAAGGCGCACGGCUGCCUGGUUGAAUUGGUCAACUGGUAUAGUGCAAAAGAUGAGGAAAACAGAAGAAGACGAAAAAUAAAAUGCUCAAACGAAGUGUACUCUCUCGCUCU
rnacentral:lncRNA from 1 species